UACGUAGGGUCCGAGCGUUGUCCGGAAUCAUUGGGCGUAAAGCGCGUGUAGGCGGCUCGAUAAGUCCGGUGUGAAACCUUGGGGCUCAACCCCAAGCCUGCACUGGAUACUGCCGAGCUAGAGUCCGGGAGGGGAGAGCGGAAUUCCUAGUGUAGCGGUGAAAUGCGCAGAUAUUAGGAAGAACACCGGUGGCGAAGGCGGCUCUCUGGAACGGUACUGACGCUGAGACGCGAAAGCGUGGGGAGCGAACAGG
rnacentral:rRNA from 1 species